UACGUAGGGGGCAAGCGUUGUCCGGAUUCAUUGGGCGUAAAGAGCGUGUAGGCGGCCUGGAAGGUCAGCUGUGAAAACUCGAGGCUCAACCUCGAGACGUCGGUUGAAACCACCUGGCUAGAGUCCGGAAGAGGAGUGUGGAAUUCCCGGUGUAGCGGUGGAAUGCGCAGAUAUCGGGAGGAACACCCGUGGCGAAGGCGGUGGCCUGGACCUGUGCUGACGCUGAGGCGCGAAAGCGUGGGGAGCGAUCCGG
rnacentral:rRNA from 1 species